rnacentral:piRNA from 1 species
UGCCAGGUUCCAUAGAACAAUCUACUCCUU